rnacentral:lncRNA from 1 species
GUCCUAGUUUAAGCAUGAGUUUUUCUUCUCCUCUUUGUCUAAAAAUUGGAUAAAACUUUUUACAUCUCUAGUGUAGAGAUUUGGUACAUGAAUUUUAAGAAGAAAAGAGAAGAAAGGAUUCUUUUCAUGAUCUCUAGCGUAAAUAUCAAUAUCCUCCUAUCUUUUUCUUCUUCUCUAAGAGUGUCUUGAGAGAAAAGAAGAUUUUUCAACUAUCCAGAUGCGA